rnacentral:rRNA from 1 species
UACAGAGGUCUCAAGCGUUGUUCGGAUUCAUUGGGCGUAAAGGGUGCGUAGGCGGCGAGGUAAGUCGGAUGUGAAAUCCCGGGGCUCAACCCCGGAACUGCAUUCGAUACUGCUUUGCUUGAGUACUGGAGAGGAGACUGGAAUUUACGGUGUAGCAGUGAAAUGCGUAGAUAUCGUAAGGAAGACCAGUGGCGAAGGCGAGUCCCUGGACAACACCUGACACUGAGGCACGAAAGCUAGGGGAGCAAACAGG